UACGUAGGGUGCAAGCGUUUGUCCGGAAUUAUUGGGCGUAAAGAGCUCGUAGGCGGUUUGUCGCGUCUGCUGUGAAAACUCGGGGGCUUAACCCCCGGGCCUGCAGUGGGUACGGGGCAGACUAGAGUGCGGUAGGGGGAGACUGGAAUUCCUGGUGUAGCGGUGAAAUGCGCAGAUAUCAGGAGGAACACCGGUGGCGAAGGCGGCGACCUGGGGUAGAUACUGACGUGAGGUGCGAAAGCGUGGGGGAGCAAAACAGG
rnacentral:rRNA from 1 species